rnacentral:rRNA from 1 species
UACGUAGGGGGCAAGCGUUGUCCGGAUUUAUUGGGCGUAAAGAGCGUGUAGGCGGCCAGACAGGUCCGUUGUGAAAACUAGAGGCUUAACCUCUAGACGUCGAUGGAAACCGUCUGGCUAGAGUCCGGAAGAGGAGAAUGGAAUCCUGGUGGAGCGGUGAAAUGCGCAGAUAUCAGGAAGAACACCCGUGGCUAAGGCGGUUCUCUAGUACGGUACUGACGCUGAGACGCGAAAGCGUGGGGAGCGAACAGG